UACGUAGGGUGCAAGCGUUGUCCGGAAUUAUUGGGCGUAAAGAGCUCGUAGGCGGUCUGUCGCGUCUGCUGUGAAAACUCAGGGCUUAACCCUGAGCUUGCAGUGGGUACGGGCAGACUAGAGUGCGGUAGGGGAGACUGGAAUUCCUGGUGUAGCGGUGAAAUGCGCAGAUAUCAGGAGGAACACCGGUGGCGAAGGCGGGUCUCUGGGCCGUAACUGACGCUGAGGAGCGAAAGCGUGGGGAGCAAACGGG
rnacentral:rRNA from 1 species